rnacentral:rRNA from 1 species
UACGUAGGGGGCAAGCGUUGUCCGGAAUCAUUGGGCGUAAAGCGCGUGUAGGCGGCUCGAUAAGUCUGCUGUGAAAGUCCAAGGCUCAACCUUGGGAUGCCGGUGGAUACUGUCGAGCUCGAGUCCGGAAGAGGAGUGUGGAAUUCCUGGUGUAGCGGUGAAAUGCGUAGAUAUCAGGAGGAACACUCGAUGGCGAAGGCAGGUCU